AUGAAUUCAAAAUCCGCUUUCCUUCUGAUCGUGGUGGCAGUUAGCACCACGGCCAUGGUGCACGGCCACCCUGCCGCUAGCACUCCGGCGGCACGGUUCUGGGAGCAGGCCCUCUCCGGCACGCCGAUGCCGGAGGUGCUAGCUGAUUUUGUUCAGAAAGGAAUGGAUCUGUCACCGCUCGUGGAGCACUACUCUGCACAGCCUAGUAUCGGCAUGUGCACACUCUUCAACACUAUCUGCGACGCGCGCACGGUGGCGGAGACCGGCAUCUUCUUCCACGAGGCCGAGCUACAUCCGGGCAGCACCAUGACCCUGUAUUUCCCAGCGGAGGCGGAGACAGCCAUCCUCCCGCACGACAUCGCCGGCAAGGUCCCCUUCGAGAACCUAAGCGACGUCCUCUCCACGUUCCACAUCUCACCAGGCUCCGCUGAGGCUGCGCAAGUGGAGGACACCCUGCGCAAGUGUCAGCAGCCGCCAAUCGCCGGUGAGAUAAAAGCCUGCACCAUGUCGCUAGAGAGCACUGUAAAGGCCGCCAUGGAGAUGCUCGGCACCACCAUCCAGCAGGGUGGUGGUGGUGGUGACGUGUGGGCGGCCACGUCGACGCUCCCCCGCGGUGGCCUGCUACCACACCGGGAGUACAUUGUCCAGGAGGUCACCAAGCUAGAGGGCACUGGCUACGUGGCCUGCCACAAGGUGCCGUUCCCAUACGCCGUCUUCCAUUGUCACAUCGCACAUACGGGGUAUAUAGGUUACAAGGUCACCCUCCACGGCCGCGGCGACAACGAGGGCCCUGUGGUUUCCUUGCUGGCGUUCUGCCAUUUCGACACCUCCCACUGGAAUCCGGCACACCCGGCGUUCCAGAUACUGAAGACCCACCCUGGUGCCAGUACGUCGGUGUGCCACUUCAUGUCGUAUGGCAAUCUCGCGUUCAUCAAGAAGGCACGCACAGCCUAG
rnacentral:rRNA from 1 species